rnacentral:tRNA from 1 species
GGAGAGGUACCGAAGUUGGUCAUAACGGCGCUGUUUCGAAAACAGUUGGUCCUUUUUAGGGGCACGUGGGUUCGAAUCCCACCCUCUCCG